rnacentral:lncRNA from 1 species
GUUGCUUUGUGGUUGAGCCUAGGCACGGCAAGCAUACCUUGUGGGCAAUAAGGCCUUGGCUAAAGAUCUAAGCGCCAAGGGACAGAUGCAUAACAUGCAGAUGAAGGCUGCUCAUGGGAAAGCUCAAGAAGCCAUUUAUCGUCAGAGGUUUUGACUUCUUUAAUCUCAAAACAGAAGAGUCUCUCUGCUUUUUACCCAUUAACAUAAUAACCAAACUGUUAUGUUUCUCUUUCUCUCUGACUGUUCUAACCUGCCUUAUGAGCAAUACACAGGAACCCGGUGGGUCAAGGGAACAACAGUAGAGGGAGCGAAAGAAUGAUAGACUUGCACGGGCUACAUGUUAGCGAAGCACUUCAGGUGUUGAAGCACGAGCUGAGCGUGUUGAGGAGCACAGCUCGAGCAACACAAGAGAGGCUUCAGGUUUACAUAUGCGUAGGGACUGGCCACCACACAAGGGGCUCCCGCACACUGGCUAGGCUCCCAUUAUGAAAUACAUAAAAGAUAUUAUUCUUAACCAUUAUUUUGUAAACUAGGUGUUUUUGUACACCAUAUUCAGUACUAAAAAAUUAAAUUAAUUUUUUUUUAAUUUUUUAAUAUUUAGAUUUUAUUAUUUUUCACCAAUAUUUUGAUAUAAUUUUUUAUUAAGCUAUAAACAUAAAAAUAAAAUAAAAUGAAUAAUUUUGUUUAUUUUAAAUUAUAUUUAAGAAUAUCUAUCUAUAUAUGUAAAAUUAUAAUUUUAGAUAGAUUUUUUAUCUGUUUACUUUUGCUAAAAUAUAUUUAAUCAACUUGUAGAAAAUUAAGAAAAAAAAUUUGGAUAUUAAAAUUAUUAAAAAGUAAAAAUAAACAGUAUUUCUAAAAUUUGUAGAUAUAUAAAGGAAAUUAAUGAUAUUAUGAUUAAAAAUUAUAAUGUUUUAAAAAAAAUUGUAGAAAAUUUUGAAAAAUAGUAAUAAAAAUUGUAUAAUCAUAAAAAUAGAACUAAGUAAUUUUAGAAAUUGGUAAAGUAUAAAGUAUUGUCAUAUUUAAAUAGAUUUAUUUUAAUGAAUGAUAUAUGAGUUAUUAACACAGUCUAAAUUUUUUACCAUAAAUAUAAAUUAACAUUAAAUGUAAUUGUUUAUGUCAUAUUUAGUCAUAUAUCAUAUUGUCAUUUAUAGUAUGUCUUGUCACAUGAGUUUGUUUAUGUUGUUGACAAAAAAAAAUUAUAGUAUGCCUUGUCACAUUUUUAAAGAAAGAUUUUGUAGAAAGUACACAUAGGCAAAGUAUGAAAAUCAUUUAGAAAGAAAAGCUUUUAUUAUAAUAAAUUAUAAAAUCCAACAAAUUGAAUAUACUAUAUUUUUAAAAUUACACAUUUCAGCUUAAAUACAAAUGACGGUUUUAGACAAAAAUAAUGAAAUUGGUAUAAAAAUAUAAUAAGUUAAUUUCAUUAAAUUAAUUUUGGUAAAAAAUAUUGUCAACAUUUAAAGCACAGUUGAAUUAGUACAUAUUUAAUAAUUAAUAAAGUGUGAUGAAGAUUGAAGAUGGAAACUAAUGAAAUAUUUUAUUUUAAUUCGCGUUUUAAAAGUGCAGGAUAUUUUUGCAUUGCAAAAUCUAAAAUAGACAUAUCCGUGUUAUUUAAACUCAUACCAUUUUUGGUCGAUCUUAAUUAUAUUCCAAACUUGUUUAGACUAAAAUCCACAGAAAUUUUUAUAGAUUCCAUUAAUUUUUUUUUGCUUACAUGGGACAUUUAUUUCACAACAAUAAUUAUAAAUUAUAUGUAUAAGCAACCACCCGUUUCUGAUAACCAAACUUAAAGUAUAGAAUUAAUAUAUAAAAAUAGCAAAAAAAAAACUCAGAGCACUACGUGUAAAUCUGUCCAUGAUUGUGUUAUAUGCAUUUAUAUGAGAUACAGUUUUAUCAAAAUAUUAGAGAAAUUGUUUAUGCUAAAAAUAGUAAGAAACAAUAACUUCUGUAAAUAUUAUUUGUUAUAUAUGAUAAAUUAUUUAUUAGGAACGCUGAUGUUAAAAUAUGGUGGAUACAUUUGUUACAUAUUUUGAAAUGUAGGUUAGAGAGUGCAAUGUUAUGGACAUAUAUUUUCUAAGUUCAUAUAUUUUUUAAAAUGCGGGAAAAGAAAAUAUUGUUAUUAUUUGGGGCGGAUAUUUAUUAGUUUUGUUAAUAAAUAGAGUUUUUUUUUUGUUUUAAGAAUAUUUGUGUAGAAUAAAAAUAAUGUUAGAUUUUAUAUAGUAAGAUUAAACCAAGACUAGAAGGGGAAAAUCAGGUAUCGUUGUGUCCCAUUUAAAAAGAAAAAAUCUACACAAUUAAAACACUCAAUCUUUGUUUUCCUUCUAAUCCUGUUAUUCAAAAAAAUAAUUAUAUAGUGUUAGAUAUUUGUUUUAAUAGUAUAAGAUUAAAACAAAGAUUAGAAGGGAAAAAAAAAGGAAGGUCAAAAUCGAGAGAGGGUUGGGGUGUGGUCUUAGAUACGAUAAUCUUGUGGUGGUCGUAGGUGUUGCAUCUUGAGCCAAACACACACGAAAGAGAAAGAGAGAGUAUUAGAGAUUAGAGAUGAAGACGACGACGACGCUUACCCAAAGCUCGAAUCCCUAGGUAUACAUACAUACUUUAAAAGCCACAAAACUCCCCCUGGAAAAAAGUUAUCUCUCUCGUUUUCCGCAGCCUUUUCUUUUACUCCUGAAUCUCGUGUUUUCAUGGAUCCACUCUUUCUCUUCCUCAAAGGUUUCCGAUUUAUUUUCUCAUCUUGAUUCGCGACUUUCUUCCACUUUCUUGGUUUUAAAUUUCACUAACGAUUCAGUUAUUGUAGUUGUGUCUCAGAUUCGAAGCUAAUUAAUUGCGUUUGUCUCCUACGAAACACUUGAGAUUUAUUUAUUUAUUCAUAAAUUAAAAGCUGCAAUGCCUUUGACUUAUAUGAACUGAAAGUGUUUUAUCUUUUUUUCUUUCCUUGUAAAUAUUUGAUUUAUGUUUUUUUGUUUCUUUUCUAGGUAACAUUUGAGUAGUAGUGAUAAAGGUUAAUUCUUUUGCAGGUUUUGGCUAAUAAACAAAGCAGUUAAAAUCGGUUGUGUCUCAUUUUAAAUUUCGAUAUGAACUUAAGCAAGAAAGCAACGACGACCCCGUCAAGUGAUCCAAAGCUAAAGCCUACAACUUUGAACCCUCAUGCUGCUGAGUUUGUUCCCUUUACUCUACGCUCUACUAGUACUACUACUACUACAAGCAACUUGGAUGUUACGACACCAAGACUUUUAGCUUCCUCCAGCUCUGUUCUGGACCGGUCGGAGUCAUCUGCAUCGCGUCAUUCAGAUGAAGAAGCGCGCCAGUUCUGGAGUCACCAGCUUCCUGAUGAUAUCACUCCAGAUUUCAAGCUCAUGACUACUCAAGAUGACACUUCCUAUGGUGCUUCUGGGAGUUUGUCACUAGCUGGCUUGUCCUUGUAUGACGCUGAGAACUUUCCUUCUCCUAGUGGAGGAGGUGGAGGAGGAGGAGGGUUUGUGUUUUCUGACCAACCACAUGGGCAUAACUUGUCGGACAAGAGUAGAUAUCCCAUCUCCUCGUUCGGGGAAGAUCAGAGUUUCAGUCCAAAGCCUUGGGAUAAGCAGAUUAUGAGUGCUGAGAAGCAGCUUCUUGGUGGUAAUGAUGACAGGGAGAGAAGAAACCCUUUUGGUCGAUUCAUGGUUUCCGAGAAUCCAAGUAUAGGGGAAAUGGAGGUGAACCCUGUGGAGUUUCUUGCUUCUCAGUUCCCUGGAUUUGCUGCUGAGAGUCUUGCUGAGGUUUAUUUUGCUAAUGGGUGUGAUUUGCAGUUGACCGUUGAGAUGCUUACUCAGCUUGAGGUAUUCUCCCUAGCUUUCUGCUUCUCUUCCUGUGAAACUCAUUAUUCCUUGUGAACAUAUGGUUCAAUGUUGAUGCAAUUGAAUGUGUUGAUGUCCUUUUUUUUGCUCUAAUCAUGUUGUUUUGCAACUUUAUGAAUGUUUUGUUCAUUCGAGUGAUUUGGUUAUGUUUGUACUGCAGCUACAAGUGGAUAAUGGUUUGAAUCAGAACAUGAGGCCUAAGAUUCCUGCUCCUGCUCCGGCUCCUAAUCUAACUCCCAUGGAUUUUCCUGCCCUAAGCCCUGCACAGUUUGGUGGGGAUGAUAUGCAACAAACAGGGAACCAUUACCAAUCUGCUGGAAAGGAUAAUAUGUUUUUCUUCAAGCCAGAUUAUGUUUCUGCAGUCAAGAAGUUGGCAUCCCAAGAUACUGGCCUGUGGAAAUAUGAAGGAAACGGUUCAGGAGACUCAUCUAUUGGCGGAUCAAGCAGAAAUUAUCAUGCUGGGGGUGGGCGUGGGCCUGCGAGGAGUAUAUAUUCUGAUAAGCUGUCCUCAAAUCGAGCUACUCCUGUCGCCUGGCUGGAGACCGGGGACGCAGUUGGUAUAUCUCCCCCCUUUUCAACAAAACAUUACCACCCUAUAUAUACUACAUAUGUUGUUAUCUGAUUGGAUGUAAAUUGCAGGGAAUCUGUAUUCUGACUUGCGCGGGGAAGCACGUGACUAUGCUCGUCUUCGGAAUGUAUACUUCGAACAGGUAUAAAUACUUUCGAAUGGCAUUUUUUUUUUCUCAUUUAUUUGACCUCUAGUUUUCCUGUAUUCACUUUCUGUUGUGUAGCUGGAAGCUCUAUUUGAUCUCUCUCUUUUGCUCAUACUUCUUCAGUAGUGAAUAAAAGGGUCUUUAUCUGCAAGUUUUAGAUGAUAGUUUCAGCUCUUUCUCACCGGGUUGAAUAAUUAAAUACGGUUCUGUAUUAAUCAUAAUUUGAUGUUGCUUUGUGGUUGAGCCUAGGCACGGCAAGCAUACCUUGUGGGCAAUAAGGCCUUGGCUAAAGAUCUAAGCGCCAAGGGACAGAUGCAUAACAUGCAGAUGAAGGCUGCUCAUGGGAAAGCUCAAGAAGCCAUUUAUCGUCAGAGGUUUUGACUUCUUUAAUCUCAAAACAGAAGUCUCUCUGCUUUUUACCCAUUAACAUAAUAACCAAACUGUUAUGUUUCUCUUUCUCUCUGACUGUUCUAACCUGCCUUAUGAGCAAUACACAGGAACCCGGUGGGUCAAGGGAACAACAGUAGAGGGAGCGAAAGAAUGAUAGACUUGCACGGGCUACAUGUUAGCGAAGCACUUCAGGUGUUGAAGCACGAGCUGAGCGUGUUGAGGAGCACAGCUCG